CAAUAGCGUAUAUUAAAGUUGUUGCGGUUAAAAAGCUCGUAGUUGGAUCUCGGCAGGCAGGGGGUGGUUCGCUCUUAGCGCUACUGCCCCAUUUGCCUGUGUGAUUGGCGGGGGUUUCGGGGUGCUCUUCGUUGAGUGACCCGGGGCGCCGUCAGGUUUACUUUGAAAAAAUUAGAGUGCUCAAAGCAGGCUUUUCACGCUUGAAUAUUCGUGCAUGGAAUAAUGGAAUAGGAACUCGUUUCUAUUUUGUUGGUUUUCGGAAAUCGAGUUAAUGAUUAAUAGGGACAAUUGGGGGCAUUAGUAUUCAGACGACAGAGGUGAAAUUCUUGGACCGUCUGAAGACUAACUACUGCGAAAGCAUUUGCCAAGAGUGUUUUCAUUAA
rnacentral:rRNA from 1 species